rfam:Gossypium arboreum cultivar AKA8401 contig_10914_7, whole genome shotgun sequence.
UGUUAAAAUUUUUAUCUAUUUUUACUGUUAAAAACUAAUGUGGCUGACAGAGUAGUUAGUUAGUUUCAUGUGACGUGCCACCUGUACCUUAUUCCAACGUACACGAACCAAUUUUUAAUGAUAGAGUUAAAUGGAAUUUUUAACA